rnacentral:rRNA from 1 species
AUACCGCAUAAGCGCACAGCAUCGCAUGAUGCAGUGUGAAAAACUCCGGUGGUAUAAGAUGGACCCGCGUUGGAUUAGCUAGUUGGUGAGGUAACGGCCCACCAAGGCGACGAUCCAUAGCCGACCUGAGAGGGUGACCGGCCACAUUGGGACUGAGACACGGCCCAAACUCCUACGGGAGGCAGCAGUGGGGAAUAUUGCACAAUGGGCGAAAGCCUGAUGCAGCGACGCCGCGUGAGCGAAGAAGUAUUUCGGUAUGUAAAGCUCUAUCAGCAGGGAAGAUAAUGACGGUACCUGACAAGAAGCACCGGCUAAAUACGUGCCAGCAGCCGCGGUAAUACGUAUGGUGCAAGCGUUAUCCGGAUUUACUGGGUGUAAAGGGAGCGCAGGCGGUGCGGCAAGUCUGAUGUGAAAGCCCGGGGCUCAACCCCGGUACUGCAUUGGAAACUGUCGUACUAGAGUGUCGGAGGGGUAAGCGGAAUUCCUAGUGUAGCGGUGAAAUGCGUAGAUAUUAGGAGGAACACCAGUGGCGAAGGCGGCUUACUGGACGAUAACUGACGCUGAGGCUCGAAAGCGUGGGGAGCAAACAAGAUUAGAUACCCUGGUAGUCCGCGCCGUAAACGAUGAAUACUAGGUGUUGGGAAGCAUUGCUUCUCGGUGCCGUCGCAAACGCAGUAAGUAUUCCACCUGGGGAGUACGUUCGCAAGAAUGAAACUCAAAGGAAUUGACGGGGACCCGCACAAGCGGUGGAGCAUGUGGUUUAAUUCGAAGCAACGCGAAGAACCUUACCAAGUCUUGACAUCCUUCUGACCGGUACUUAACCGUACCUUCUCUUCGGAGCAGGAGUGACAGGUGGUGCAUGGUUGUCGUCAGCUCGUGUCGUGAGAUGUUGGGUUAAGUCCCGCAACGAGCGCAACCCUUAUCUUUAGUAGCCAGCGGUUCGGCCGGGCACUCUAGAGAGACUGCCAGGGAUAACCUGGAGGAAGGCGGGGAUGACGUCAAAUCAUCAUGCCCCUUAUGACUUGGGCUACACACGUGCUACAAUGGCGUAAACAAAGGGAAGCAAAGCUGUGAAGCCGAGCAAAUCUCAAAAAUAACGUCUCAGUUCGGACUGUAGUCUGCAACCCGACUACACGAAGCUGGAAUCGCUAGUAAUCGCAGAUCAGAAUGCUGCGGUGAAUACGUUCCCGGGUCUUGCACU